AUUGAACGCUGGCGGCAGGCCUAACACAUGCAAGUCGAGCGGAUGAAGGGAGCUCGCUCCUGGAUUCAGCGGCGGACGGGCGAGUAAUGCCUAGGAAUCUGCCUGGUAGUGGGGGAUAACGUCCGGAAACGGGCGCUAAUACCGCAUACGUCCUGAGGGAGAAAGUGGGGGAUCUUCGGACCUCACGCUAUCAGAUGAGCCUAGGUCGGAUUAGCUAGUUGGUGGGGUAAAGGCCUACCAAGGCGACGAUCCGUAACUGGUCUGAGAGGAUGAUCAGUCACACUGGAACUGAGACACGGUCCAGACUCCUACGGGAGGCAGCAGUGGGGAAUAUUGGACAAUGGGCGAAAGCCUGAUCCAGCCAUGCCGCGUGUGUGAAGAAGGUCUUCGGAUUGUAAAGCACUUUAAGUUGGGAGGAAGGGCAGUAAGUUAAUACCUUGCUGUUUUGACGUUACCAACAGAAUAAGCACCGGCUAACUUCGUG
rnacentral:rRNA from 1 species